rnacentral:rRNA from 1 species
UUGUUCAAAGAUUAAGCCAUGCAUGUCUAAGUAUAAGCAAUUAUACAGCGAAACUGCGAAUGGCUCAUUAUAUAAGUUAUCGUUUAUUUGAUAGUACCUUACUACAUGGAUAACCGUGGUAAUUCUAGAGCUAAUACAUGCUAAAAAUCCCAACUUCGGAAGGGAUGUAUUUAUUAGAUUAAAAACCAAUGCCCUCUGGGCUCUCUGGUGAUUCAUGAUAACUCUUCGAAUCGCAUGGCCUUGCGCUGGCGAUGGUUCAUUCAAAUUUCUUCCCUAUCAACUUUCGAUGUUUGGGUAUUGGCCAAACAUGGUUGCAACGGGUAACGGAGGGUUAGGGCUCGACCCCGGAGAAGGAGCCUGAGAAACGGCUACUACAUCCAAGGAAGGCAGCAGGCGCGCAAAUUACCCAAUCCCGACACGGGGAGGUAGUGACAAUAAAUACUGAUACAGGGCUCUUUCGGGUCUUGUAAUUGGAAUGAGUACAAUUUAAAUCCCUUAACGAGGAACAAUUGGAGGGCAAGUCUGGGCCAGCAGCCA